UACGUGGAGGGCUAGCGUUGUCCGGAAUCAUUGGGCGUAAAGAGCGUGUAGGCGGCUCGGUAAGUCCGCUGUAAAAGUCAAAGGCUCAACCUUUGAAUGUCAGUGGAUACUGCCGGGCUAGAGUCCGGAAGAGGCGAGUGGAACUCCUGGUGUAGCGGUGGAAUGCGCAGAUAUCAGGAAGAACACCAACGGCGAAGGCAGCUCGCUGGGACGGUACUGACGCUGAGACGCGAAAGCGUGGGGAGCAAACAGG
rnacentral:rRNA from 1 species